UACGGGGGGUGCGAGCGUUGUCCGGAAUCACUGGGCGUAAAGGGCGCGUAGGUGGUCUUAUAAGGGUGUGGUGAAAGCCCGGGGCUCAACCCCGGGUCGGCCGUGGCAACUACUCGGCUUGAGCACUGUAGGGGCGGGUGGAAUUCCGGGUGUAGCGGUGGAAUGCGUAGAGAUCCGGAAGAACACCGGUGGCGAAGGCGGCCCGCUGGGCAGGAAGGCUCGCAAGAGCCGGCUGACACUGAGGCGCGACAGCGUGGGGAGCAAACAGG
rnacentral:rRNA from 1 species